rfam:Candidate division Zixibacteria bacterium DG_27 WOR1_52_54_7237, whole genome shotgun sequence.
GCCGAAGUGGUGGAACUGGCAGACACGCUGUGUUCAGGGCGCAGUGGGCUUUUGCCCGUGUGGGUUCAAAUCCCACCUUCGGCA